rnacentral:rRNA from 1 species
GGCGUGCCUAAUACAUGCAAGUCGAGCGAACAGACGAGGAGCUUGCUCCUCUGACGUUAGCGGCGGACGGGUGAGUAACACGUGGAUAACCUACCUAUAAGACUGGGAUAACUUCGGGAAACCGGAGCUAAUACCGGAUAAUAUAUUGAACCGCAUGGUUCAAUAGUGAAAGACGGUUUUGCUGUCACUUAUAGAUGGAUCCGCGCCGCAUUAGCUAGUUGGUAAGGUAACGGCUUACCAAGGCAACGAUGCGUAGCCGACCUGAGAGGGUGAUCGGCCACACUGGAACUGAGACACGGUCCAGACUCCUACGGGAGGCAGCAGUAGGGAAUCUUCCGCAAUGGGCGAAAGCCUGACGGAGCAACGCCGCGUGAGUGAUGAAGGUCUUCGGAUCGUAAAACUCUGUUAUUAGGGAAGAACAAAUGUGUAAGUAACUAUGCACGUCUUGACGGUACCUAAUCAGAAAGCCACGGCUAACUACGUGCCAGCAGCCGCGGUAAUACGUAGGUGGCAAGCGUUAUCCGGAAUUAUUGGGCGUAAAGCGCGCGUAGGCGGUUUUUUAAGUCUGAUGUGAAAGCCCACGGCUCAACCGUGGAGGGUCAUUGGAAACUGGAAAACUUGAGUGCAGAAGAGGAAAGUGGAAUUCCAUGUGUAGCGGUGAAAUGCGCAGAGAUAUGGAGGAACACCAGUGGUGAAGGCGACUUUCUGGUCUGUAACUGACGCUGAUGUGCGAAAGCGUGGGGAUCAAACA